UCACCCACCUGGUGUCCCAGGUCUAAAUCAGGCCCUGAUUAGAGGGGAAUCACCCACCUGGUAUCCCAGGUCUAAAUCAGUCCCUGAUUAGAGGGGAUUCACCCACCUGGUGUCCCAGGUCUAAAUCAGUCCCUGAUUAGAGGGGAAUCACCCACCUGGUGUCCCAGGUCUAAAUCAGUCCCUGAUUAGAGGGGAAUCACCC